ACAAGGCAGAUAUAUUCACUUACAAUAUACUUAUAGAUGGCCUAUGCAAAGGUGGAAGACUUAUAGAUGCAAAAGAGAUUUUUCAAGAUCUUUCCGUUAAAGGCUAUCGUCCAAAUGUGAGGACAUACAAUAUUAUGAUCAAUGGGCUCUGCAAAGAGGGCUUGUUUGAAGAAGCAUUGGCACUCUUGUCAAAAAUGGAAGGCAAUGGUUUCUUACCAGAUGCUGUGACUUUUGAAACUGUUAUCCGUGCUUUGUUUGAAAAAGAUGAGAAUGACAUGGCGGAGAAACUUCUUCAGGAAAUGGUUGCUAGAGGCUUAUUGAAUUGAUAAAAGAAGGUUGAGGCUUGACAUGGCUUUCAUCCUUGUUUUUUUUCUCAAAGGUAGAAUUUCAUUUCAUGAAAAUUAGGAUUUGGGUCCACGAUGGACCACUUACAAUACUAAAAGAGAGAUUUCCCAACAAAACUUAUCUAAAUCAGGAAACAACAUUGAAAGGGAAGGAAAGAGUAAAGUGAAAACUUCUUCAGACAUUUCUAAUCUUCUUCGCAUUCCUCAGUUGAGCAAGCACGCUUGGAAUUCUGAUUCACUCCUUCUGGCUCGUUCAAGGACACAAGCCUCAUCGAACUCUUCACCGUCAAACAUGAAUCUGUUGCGAGCCUUCCAUAUCUCCCACAUCAGGGGCUCCAAUUUCGGAUCUGAGCCAAGUGGACCAUGACUGACCACAGCUAAUUAUGCAGUGUUGGACUGUUUCUUCCAUCGCGGUACAUCUUCGACAGGUUGGUGGUCCCAAAUAGAAGUCCAGAGCUUCUUCUGCUGGCAGUGGAGUGGCAUCAGAUCGAGUGGAGGGUGGUAGAACUAGUGCGCCAGUAAAUAUCCUGAAGCCACGGUGUAGCAACCCUUUUUCUCCCUUGGCCAGGUAACUGAAUCUUCCCCUUCCCCAAUUUCAGUUUGUAAAAUAUUCUGUGCAAUAUCUGUACUGAAUUGUUCUGCAAUGAGCUGUUGGUUCCAUUGCUUGUUUUCGUUUAGGAGUUGAUUAACCCAAAUUAGUUGUGAGUUAGUAGGAAUUAACAUCUGAGUAGAUAAUGCUUGUUGAUUUUUGAUCCAAGAGUCCUCCAUUUACAUAUGGGUAAAUACCAAUCUACCAUGUUAUAUGUAUAAAUUUAACUGGCUACACAUUAAUCCAAACUAUGCUGAAGCUCUCUAGUGUGAAUUUUCCUUUAUACUUUGUUUUGUAUUUGGCCCCUACGGAAUCAAUUGUGAGACACUAGAGUUCUUCUCAACUAAUUUGGUUUCUUGUUGAAUCCAUACUCACUAGAUUUUAAACUUCAAAAAUCACUUCAUCUCAAACGGAUGAAAUAUUGCUGUUGCUAUAAAUUUUGCAAAGCCAAUCUUUGCAUUAUAAUUUGGUUCUUCAUUUAUAUACUUCCAUUCUAACUUUGUGUGGUGCGUGCUGCAUAAAACAGUUGUAGACUUAAGCAAACAGUACUCCAAAUAAACAUUUGAUACUGCGAAGGGAAUAAUUUUGCUUUAUGGUGAGAGUAUAUGAUAUACAAUGUGUUUUGGAUAUUGCAAGUUCAUCAAGAGUUGUUUGAGACUCUACAGAAAGGGAAAAUUUUAAUAUAGUUAACCAAUUCUUUGUUCAUUUUCACUGACAUACAAAAUGGGAGC